AUGAACCAUAUCAGGGUGUGGCUGGUGCUGGGCGUGGUCAGAUCCAGGGAGAGGCUCCGGGCGGCCGUGACCCUGCUGGAGUCCGGGGGGGACCUCCAGCCCCCCGGGGGGUCCCUGCGCCUCCUCUGCCGAGGCUCUGGGUUCAAUUUCGGGAGCUACAACAUGUGCUGGAUGCGCCAGAGACCUGGGCAGGGGCUGGAGUGGAUCGCGGGGAUCUACAGCAGUGGUGGCAGCACCUUCUACGCGCCCUCGGUCAAGGGCCGGUUCACGAUCUCCAGGGACAACGGGCAGAGCUCGGUGACGCUGACCAUGAACAACCUCAAGGACGAGGAUUCCGGAUCCUAUUUCUGUGCCAGGACCUGUUCUAAUAGUGCUGGUGCUAAUGAUGCCUGUGGCUUUGGCUCCAAGCCCAGUGCCGAGUCCCCCCCGUCCCCAGAGCCCAGACCCUUCCCCCAGACCCCAGCCCCAGACCCAGCUCUUGACCAUUGA